rnacentral:rRNA from 1 species
GGAGGAUCCGAGCGUUAUCCGGAUUUAUUGGGUUUAAAGGGAGCGCAGACGGGUCGUUAAGUCAGCUGUGAAAGUUUGGGGCUCAACCUUAAAAUUGCAGUUGAUACUGGCGGCCUUGAGUGCGGUUGAGGUGUGCGGAAUUCGUGGUGUAGCGGUGAAAUGCUUAGAUAUCACGAAGAACUCCGAUUGCGAAGGCAGCACACUAAGCCGUAACUGACGUUCAUGCUCGAAAGUGUGGGUAUCAAACAGGAUUGGAUACCCUGGUAGUCCGCACGGUAAACGAUGGAUGCCCGCUGUUGGUCUGAACAGGUCAGCGGCCAAGCGAAAGCAUUAAGCAUCCCACCUGGGGAGU